rnacentral:rRNA from 1 species
GAUGAACGCUGGCGGCGUGCCUAAUACAUGCAAGUCGAGCGAACGGACGAGAAGCUUGCUUUUCUGAUGUUAGCGGCGGACGGGUGAGUAACACAUGGAUAACCUACCUAUAAGACUGGGAUAACUUCGGGAAACCGGAGCUAAUACCGGAUAAUAUUUUGAACCGCAUGGUUCAAAAGUGAAAGACGGUCUUGCUGUCACUUAUAGAUGGAUCCGCGCUGCAUUAGCUAGUUGGUAAGGUAACGGCUUACCAAGGCAACGAUGCAUAGCCGACCUGAGAGGGUGAUCGGCCACACUGGAACUGAGACACGGUCCAGACUCCUACGGGAGGCAGCAGUAGGGAAUCUUCCGCAAUGGGCGAAAGCCUGACGGAGCAACGCCGCGUGAGUGAUGAAGGUCUUCGGAUCGUAAAACUCUGUUAUUAGGGAAGAACACAUGUGUAAGUAACUGUGCACAUCUUGACGGUACCUAAUCAGAAAGCCACGGCUAACUACGUG